AAAGUUAAUACCUUGUUAUACGCUCUCGUUUUUUUACGAGGCAGUGACAAGCUGUAACGGUUGAGUAUAUCUAAAUUGACGAGUGUUAGGCGUUGCCGCGUGGUUUCGGCCGCGCUAUGGCAUACUGCCAACACUUUGUGUGCUCAAUUGGAAUGCGGUGAGUUUAAGUAUCUCAGAAUCUGUAUAGCGUGUUGCGUCUCGCGCGUGCACGCUGUGCGUAUCUGAAUUUUCAAGUGGAGGGCAAGUCUGGUGCCAGCAGCCGCGGUAAUACCAGCUCCACUGGCCUAUACAAUCAUUGUUGCGGUUAAGAGGCUCGUAGUUGGAUUGAACAAAUUUAAUAAUAUCUCGACACACACACACACACACUGUACUGUACACGGCCGAGAAUAUUUUACUAUAUUCAACACUGUGAACAAAUCAGAAUGUAUCAAAUAUGUCGUAUACCCUACGCGCAUUGUAUGCCCCGUCAUGGAAUGUUGCCCAAGGAGUCUAUACACACACAUAUAGCGAUACU
rfam:Ceratocystis platani strain CFO contig_01078, whole genome shotgun sequence.